rnacentral:rRNA from 1 species
GACGAACGCUGGCGGCGUGCCUAAUACAUGCAAGUAGAACGCUGAAGGAGGAGCUUGCUUCUCUGGAUGAGUUGCGAACGGGUGAGUAACGCGUAGGUAACCUGCCUGGUAGCGGGGGAUAACUAUUGGAAACGAUAGCUAAUACCGCAUAAUAGUAGAUGUUGCAUGACAUUUACUUACAAGGUGCAAUUGCAUCACUACCAGAUGGACCUGCGUUGUAUUAGCUAGUUGGUGGGGUAACGGCUCACCAAGGCGACGAUACCUAGCCGACCUGAGAGGGUAAGCGGCCACACUGGGACUGAGACACGGCCCAGACUCCUACGGGAGGCAGCAGUAGGGAAUCUUCGGCAAUGGACGAAAGUCUUACCGAGCAACGCCGCGGGAGUGAAGAAGGUUGUCGGAUCGUAAAGCUCUGUUGUAAGAGAAGAACGAGUGUGAGAGUGGAAAGUUCACACUGUGACGGUAUCUUACCAGAAAGGGACGGCUAACUACGUG